GUCUACAGCCAUGCCACCCUGAACGAGCCCGAUCCCAUCUGAUCUCAGAAGCUAAGCAGGGUCGGGCCUCUUUAGUGCUUGGAUGGGAGGCCACCUAGGAAGACCAGGUGCUGUAGGUG
rnacentral:rRNA from 1 species